UCUGGCUCUACAGUCUGCGCUCCUGCUGGAGCUGGCAGAGACCAGAGCUGCCACCGCUGCUGCUUCCAGGAGUGUGCAGGUGGCAGCUGCCGCUGAGCCCGCGGCGGAGGAUGGCAGGGCUUGUUCCAGAAGGCUUGAGGGUCCCCGAGUGCACCGCCCUCCCACCAAUUUCUGGUUUUUCCUGUUGGAGCCCAAGGAGCAAGGGCAGAAUGAAGAACAUGAUGUUUCCUACCGACAGUUACUCAUGACGUCUCCAUCCAGGACUGAGGGGGGCAUCCUUCUCCAUCUAGGACUGGGGGCAUCCUUCUCCAUCCAGUAUUGGGGGUCAUCCUCCUCCAUCCAGGACCUGAGGGGUGUCCUUUUCUGCGCUUCCUUGGAUGGCAGUCUUUCCCUUCAUGUUUAUAGUGACUUACCAUUAAAUCACUGUGCCGUUUUUUCCUAAAAUAUAUGGGGC
rnacentral:lncRNA from 1 species